ACAGAGUGUCUGCCUCUGUGCAGAGGUGGCAGCCUCAGCCGUAUUCGGAUCUCACCAGAAACUGGAAGCAGCCCACAUACCCCUCAGUUGGGGAAAGGAUAAACCAUGAGACGCCGUCUAAGGGAUACUUACUACUUGGCAUCACGAGGGGCAAACUCCCAAGGCCCCAAGAGCAUGGUGACUCUCGAGUGUAUUCUGCCGUGCAGGAAGCCACCUUGCCC
rnacentral:lncRNA from 10 species